rnacentral:rRNA from 1 species
UACGGAGGGUGCAAACGUUGCUCGGAAUCAUUGGGCGUAAAGCGAACGUAGGCGGCUAUGUAAGUCGGGUGUGAAAGCCCAGAGCUCAACUCUGGAAGUGCAUUCGAAACUGCAUGGCUCGAGUAGCGGAGAGGAUAGCGGAAUUCCCGGUGUAGAGGUGAAAUUCGUAGAUAUCGGGAGGAACACCAGUGGCGAAGGCGGCUAUCUGGACGCAUACUGACGCUGAAGUUCGAAAGCGUGGGGAGCAAACAGG